GAUGAACGCUAGCUACAGGCUUAACACAUGCAAGUCGAGGGGAAACGGCAUUUAGUGCUUGCACCGAAUGGACGUCGACCGGCGCACGGGUGAGUAACGCGUAUCCAACCUUCCCAUAACUAAGGAAUAACCUGCCGAAAGGCAGACUAAUACCUUAUGUAAUCCUUUGAUGGCAUCAGAUAAGGAUGAAAGAUUUAUCGGUUAUGGAUGGGGAUGCGUCUGAUUAGCUUGUUGGCGGGGUAACGGCCCACCAAGGCAACGAUCAGUAGGGGUUCUGAGAGGAACGGUCCCCCACAUUGGAACUGGGACACGGUCCAAACUCCUACGGGAGGCAGCAGUGAGGAAUAUUGGUCAAUGGACGGAAGUCUGAACCAGCCAAGUAGCGUGCAGGAAGACGGCCCUAUGGGUUGUAAACUGCUUUUGUAUGGGGAUAAAGUCAAUCACGUGUGAUUGUUUGCAGGUACCAUACGAAUAAGGACCGGCUAAUUCCGUGCCAGCAGCCGCGGUAA
rnacentral:rRNA from 1 species